rnacentral:rRNA from 1 species
AUUGAACGCUGGCGGCAGGCUUAACACAUGCAAGUCGAACGAGUGGCGGACGGGCGAGUAAUGCUUGGAAAUCUAGCAUAUGGAGGGGUAUAACUACGGGAAAAUGUCGAUAAUGCCGCAUACCAUGGUGUGAGCCCAAGUGGGAUUAGGUAGUUGGUGAGGUAAAGGCUCACCAAGCCAACGAUCCCCAGCUGGUCUGAGAGGAUGACCAGCCACACUGGGACUGCGACACGGUCCAGACUCCUACGGGAGGCAGCAGUGGGGAAUAUGCCGGAAUGGGAGAAACCGAACGCAGCCAUGCCGCGUGAAGGAAGAAGGCUUUCGGGUUGUAAAGUUCUUUCGGUAGCGAAGCGUUAACUACAGAAGAAGCACCGGCUAACUCCGUGCCAGCCGCCGCGGUAAUAC